rnacentral:sRNA from 1 species
UCAAAUUCAACAAAGAAACAGCGAAUAAA